UAGUAGUUUGCCAUAAAUCCUC
rnacentral:siRNA from 1 species